rnacentral:rRNA from 1 species
GAUGAACGCUGGCGGCGUGCCUAAUACAUGCAAGUCGAGCGAACGGACGAGAAGCUUGCUUCUCUGAUGUUAGCGGCGGACGGGUGAGUAACACGUGGAUAACCUACCUAUAAGACUGGGAUAACUUCGGGAAACCGGAGCUAAUACCGGAUGAUAUUUUGAACCGCAUGGUUCAAAAGUGAAAGACGGUCUUGCUGUCACUUAUAGAUGGAUCCGCGCUGCAUUAGCUAGUUGGUAAGGUAACGGCUUACCAAGGCAACGAUGCAUAGCCGACCUGAGAGGGUGAUCGGCCACACUGGAACUGAGACACGGUCCAGACUCCUACGGGAGGCAGCAGUAGGGAAUCUUCCGCAAUGGGCGAAAGCCUGACGGAGCAACGCCGCGUGAGUGAUGAAGGUCUUCGGAUCGUAAAACUCUGUUAUUAGGGAAGAACAUAUGUGUAAGUAACUGUGCACAUCUUGACGGUACCUAAUCAGAAAGCCACGGCUAACUACGUGCCAGCAGCCGCGGUAAUACGUAGGUGGCAAGCGUUAUCCGGAAUUAUUGGGCGUAAAGCGCGCGUAGGCGGUUUUUUAAGUCUGAUGUGAAAGCCCACGGGCUCAACCGUGGAGGGUCAUUGGAAACUGGAAAACUUGAGUGCAGAAGAGGAAAGUGGAAUUCCAUGUGUAGCGGUGAAAUGCGCAGAGAUAUGGAGGAACACCAGUGGCGAAGGCGACUUUCUGGUCUGUAACUGACGCUGAUGUGCGAAAGCGUGGGGAUCAAACAGGAUUAGAUACCCUGGUAGUCCACGCCGUAAACGAUGAGUGCUAAGUGUUAGGGGGUUUCCGCCCCUUAGUGCUGCAGCUAACGCAUUAAGCACUCCGCCUGGGGAGUACGACCGCAAGGUUGAAACUCAAAGGAAUUGACGGGGACCCGCACAAGCGGUGGAGCAUGUGGUUUAAUUCGAAGCAACGCGAAGAACCUUACCAAAUCUUGACAUCCUUUGACAACUCUAGAGAUAGAGCCUUCCCCUUCGGGGGACAAAGUGACAGGUGGUGCAUGGUUGUCGUCAGCUCGUGUCGUGAGAUGUUGGGUUAAGUCCCGCAACGAGCGCAACCCUUAAGCUUAGUUGCCAUCAUUAAGUUGGGCACUCUAAGUUGACUGCCGGUGACAAACCGGAGGAAGGUGGGGAUGACGUCAAAUCAUCAUGCCCCUUAUGAUUUGGGCUACACACGUGCUACAAUGGACAAUACAAAGGGCAGCGAAACCGCGAGGUCAAGCAAAUCCCAUAAUGUUGUUCUCAGUUCGGAUUGUAGUCUGCAACUCGACUACAUGAAGCUGGAAUCGCUAGUAAUCGUAGAUCAGCAUGCUACGGUGAAUACGUUCCCGGGUCU